CUUCCCCAAGGGCAUGCCACAUGUUCCCUCAAUUGUGUCUUGACUUUCCCUAGGAAGAACUUUUCACUUUGAUGACACGCUCCAGUCAGUGGGGACAAAUUCUUCCUUAUUGCGGAAUAUGGAAAGGUUCCUCUUGAUGGUGCCCACUAAUGGUGAUGGAGGUACUUUUGAGCAAGAGAAGUUCACCACUAGGAACUACUGUCUCCCAGCCUUAGUGAUUGGGGUACUGAUACCCACGUGGAAAGCUUGCUGAGUGUAAGCUUUGGUUUGUGCUCUGACACACGCUCUAAAUUUUUGUCUUAAAUGAAUCAUAGUCAGAAGAGACCUUUUCUGUUUCAGUGUAGAACUGAUGUUUUUUUCUUCUGCAAUAGAGACUGAGGAGAAGGCAGGAAUGGGACUUUAGCUCAUGAGAUAACUCACCUGGCCUAGCCUUUCUUCAUUGUGGCUGCCCCGGUUCUGGUUCUAAAUUCCUCUCCUUGAGGAACCUGAUUUCCUUAAAUGGGCUACAGAAAGUGUUAUUCCAAGGAACUAGUAGUACAAGUAAGGCAAAAACAAUAAUUCAUUCUGUAAAACGUCCAUCUCCUUCACAGGAAACUCCAUGUGUCUCCCCCCAAUCAUAUACCCCCCCAAGUCUUGGAUCUAAGCACAAUAACAAUGGUCUAAAGUGUG